AUUGAACGCUGGCGGCAUGCUUUACACAUGCAAGUCGAACGGUAACAGGCCUUCGGGUGCUGACGAGUGGCGAACGGGUGAGUAAUGCAUCGGAACGUACCCAGAGGUGGGGGAUAACGCAGCGAAAGCUGUGCUAAUACCGCAUGUGAUCUGAGGAUGAAAGCGGGGGACCGAGCAGCAAUUUUUGGCCUCGCGCCUUUGGAGCGGCCGAUGUCGGAUUAGCUAGUUGGUGGGGUAAAGGCCUACCAAGGCGACGAUCCGUAGCUGGUCUGAGAGGACGAACAGCCACACUGGGACUGAGACACGGCCCAGACUCCUACGGGAGGCAGCAGUGGGGAAUUUUGGACAAAGGGCGCAAGCCUGAUCCAGCAAUGCCGCGUGCGGGAAGAAGGCCUUCGGGUUGUAAACCGCUUUUGGCAGGAACGAAACGGUGUCCGCUAAUACCGGGCGCUAAUGACGGUACCUGCAGAAUAAGCACCGGCUAACUACGUG
rnacentral:rRNA from 1 species